UAAUACCGCAUACGCUCUACGGAGGAAAGGGGGGGAUCUUAGGACCUCCCGCUAGAGGGGCGGCCGAUGGCAGAUUAGCUAGUUGGUGGGGUAAAGGCCUACCAAGGCGACGAUCUGUAGCUGGUCUGAGAGGACGACCAGCCACACUGGGACUGAGACACGGCCCAGACUCCUACGGGAGGCAGCAGUGGGGAAUUUUGGACAAUGGGGGAAACCCUGAUCCAGCAAUGCCGCGUGUGUGAAGAAGGCCUUCGGGUUGUAAAGCACUUUUGUCCGGAAAGAAAACAUAUGCACUAAUACUGUGUGUGGAUGACGGUACCGGAAGAAUAAGCACCGGCUAACUACGUGCCAGCAGCCGCGGUAAUACGUAGGGUGCAAGCGUUAAUCGGAAUUACUGGGCGUAAAGCGUGCGCAGGCGGUUCGCUAAGACAGAUGUGAAAUCCCCGGGCUUAACCUGGGAACUGCAUUUGUGACUGG
rnacentral:rRNA from 1 species